rnacentral:lncRNA from 1 species
UUAUUAUUUAAUGCACUGUUCUUGCAACUUAUUUUUCUGGUUAAUAUACUGUGAUUUGUGAAUGGCAGUUCAUUUCAAGCUUCUAAAUGUGUUUUUGAUCUCUAAAUAAGACUGCAUUUUAAUAUUGAUUACAGGCUUUUUAUUCCAGAGUAGUAGUAGCUCCAACACCAGCCCCUGCACCACCAGUGGUCAAGCCACCCAUCACUAAUCCACCAGUAGUGAACCCUAGUCCGCCGGUAGUCAAGCCACCAGUUUAUUCUCCACCAGUGGUCAAGCCACCCAUCACUAAUCCACCAGUAGUGAAACCUAGUCCGCCGGUAGUCAAGCCACCAGUUUAUUCUCCACCAGUGGUCAAGCCACCCAUCACUAAUCCACCAGUGGUGAAACCUAGUCCCCCGGUAGUCAAGCCACCAGUUUCUUCUCCACCAGUGGUCAAGCCACCAACUCCUACCACACCGGUCGUCAAGCCACCAGUUUCUUCUCCACCAGUGGUCAAGCCACCAACUCCUACCCCACCAGUCGUCAAGCCACCAGUUGCUACCCCGCCAGUGACCAAACCCCCCACUCCUUCACCAC